AGCGGUGUAGUUUAGUGGUAAAACUACAGCCUUCCAAGCUGUUGUCGCGAGUUCGAUUCUCGUCACCCGCUU
rnacentral:tRNA from 1 species